rnacentral:tRNA from 1 species
GCCCCAGGGUAGCCUAGUGGACAUGGCAUCUGCCCGGUAAGCGGAACCUUGUGGGUUCGAUUCCCAUCCCUGGCA